ensembl:lncRNA
CGGCCACUCACCCCGCGCGGGGGGCGCGAGCUGGGGGCGCCGGGGCCGGGCGCAGCGCGCUCCGCAGCAUCUCCGGGUGUGCGCGUCCGCGCGCCCGGGUUGGCGACCGUCGCCGCGCGAGUGCGGGGGAGGCUCCCAGCCGGGCUCGGCAGCCCGCUGAAGGGCAGGCACGGCACCGGGACAAACGGGGUUCAAGUCGCACUCAGCAACACGCAGGAUCCUUGCUCCCUGAUCAAGGACUGAACCCAGGCCCCCUGCAGUUAGAAGCAUGGAGUCCUAACCACUGGACUGCCAGGCCAUCCUGUGAGGCAUGGAGGAUCUUAGUUCCCUGACCAGGGAUUGAACCUGGGUCUCCUGCACUGGGAGUGUGGAGUCUUAGCCACUGGAUGACCAGGGAAGUUCCUACUUUUCAUUUCUAGAAGUUCUACCGAAGUUUUUUUUCCCCCAUCUUCUAGGUAAUUCACACUGCUGCUGCUGCUAAGUCGCUUCAGUCGUGUCCAACUCUGUGUGACCCCAUAGAUGGCAGCCCACCAGACUCCCCCAUCCCUGGUAUUCUCCAGGCAAGAACACUGGAGUGGGUUGCCAUUUCCUUCUCCAAUGCAUGAAAGUGAAAAGUGAAAGUGAAGUCGCUCAGUCGUGUCCGACUCUUAGUGACCCCAUGGACUGUAGCCCACCAGGCUCCUCCAUCCAUGGGAUUUUCCAGUCCAGCUGUGACACUGGAAGACUUUUUGAACCUGUUUCUGUCAGUUGCAUCUGCUGGUCCCCACUGUUGUUCAUCUCUCACUGGACAUCAGUCGGUCUCCUUGGACAGUCAUUGGUGGGUUGAGCCCAGGAUGACUGACUUUCCUCCAGAGAAUGUGUGUUUGCUCCUCGAGGGCAGUGGGGAGGACUGCAAGCCCAGGAAGCCCUAAGGACUGAGGUCACGGCAGGCAGAGUCCCGGGGUGACCAGUGCUGUCAACCCAGGGUGAGGACUUGCCCCGCCCCUCACUUCUUAGGAACCAGACUCCCCUUUGGCUUUUCCCAGGCUCCACUCAGCUCGAGGGCAACAUUCCCUGCCGUCUUCUGUUCUUCUUCAAGGUAUAUACCAGGGGUUCCAGCAGAACGGAGAGUGGGUCUCCUAGUAGAUCCCCACUUGAGCCCUUCAUCCUUGGGGCCCUCAGGGGCACAGGUGCCUUUGUGCCCCUUACCUGCUUUCGCUUACCAUCUGCCCUGGAUCUUAUCUUUGGCCGUGCCGCGUCUUUGUUGCUACACGUGGACUUUCACCAGCUGCGGUGAGCGGGGCCUACCCCCUAGUUUCAGCACGCGGGCUUCACAUUGUGCUGGCUUCUCUUGUUGUGGGGCACAGGCUCUAGGUGCCAGGGCUUCAGUAGCUGCAGCGCAGGAGCUCAGCAGUUGCGGUUCCUCGACUCUAGAGCACUGGCUUAAUAGUUGUGACGCUCAGGCUUAGUUGCUCCUCGGCAAGUGGGGUCCCCCCGGCCCAGGGAUGGAACCUGUGUCUCCUGCAUUGGCAGGCGGAUUCUUUACCACUGACCCCCCAGGGAAGUCCCUGAGCUGGAUGUUCUUUAUAACCCGCUGGUUUGUCAGUAGGUCAUUGUAUGUUUUCCAGUGUUUUAAAUUAAAGCAGAAGUGUUGGCUGAAAAAUCUAACCCAUCACUACCAGAAAUAGAAGUUCUAAAAUGCACUUAAAAAACUUACUUGUAAUUAGACAAGUAACAUGUGAAUACACCAUCCUUAUAAAAACAAACUGUGUGUGGUUAUCGGCUGGUACGUAUGCCAGACCCAGGCUUCUUUUACUUACAGGAGUCAGGGACUAAUUCAGUCUUGUCCUUCCUUACGACUCAGAAUAUUUUUUAAAAUUGAGUUAAAAAAUAAAAAUUGAAACUUUAAAACUGUGUAGACAAGGAAAGGCCUCCUUUGGCUGUCACCCAACGUCCAUUAUCUUCCCCAGAGGUUUCCACUGUUUUUGGCUUAGUACAUACCAUUUAAAAAAUAUACUUAUUUAUUAGGCUGUAUUUACUUAUUUGGCCGUGGCAGAUUUUUGAACUGACGCAGGGAUCAACCCAGUGGAAGCAUGGCAUCUUAACCCCUGGACUGCCAGGGAAGCCCCUCUUUUCUAUGAAUUUUCUGUUCAUUUCCUUCACUCAAUUUAAAAAUUGGAAUGUCUUUGGAUCAGUGGGUAAUUUCUUAUACAUUCUGUGUAGUUUGUUUCCCCUGAUGCCUAAUAUUUUCUUAUGUAUCAAUUUUUAAUGGAUGUAAAACACCAUUGUAAAGAAAAAAAAAGAUGGUGCAAGUGCCUGGCACAUAAUUACUUAACAGGAGGCCCACCCAUCAUUUGUAAUUGCCCACAUACUGCUAAAAAUACCACAGAAGAAAUCUGUGCCUCUAGUGGCUUUGUUUCCUACCUCUUUUCUUUUUUUUUUUUUUUGCAAAAUCACCUGAAGUCUGAG